rnacentral:miRNA from 1 species
AUGGGUCCGAUCGGGAAGCU